rnacentral:rRNA from 1 species
UACAGAGACUGCAAGCGUUAUUCGGAUUCACUGGGCGUAAAGGGUGCGCAGGCGGCCGAGUGUGUGAGGCGUGAAAGCCCGGGGCUUAACCCCGGAAUUGCACCUCAAACUACACGGCUAGAGCAUUGGAGAGGGUAGCAGAAUUCAUGGUGUAGCAGUGAAAUGCGUAGAUAUCAUGAGGAAUACCAGAGGCGAAGGCGGCUACCUGGACAAUUGCUGACGCUCAGGCACGAAAGCGUGGGGAGCAAGAGGG